ensembl:lncRNA
AGUCAACAAAAUAUGAGAAUGGAUCUGAGAACAGAUCUUAAAUCACAACUACGAGAUCCAAACCGUAGUAGUAAAGCAGCCCUGCUGCAGAGCCGCUGGCAGGAGGUGAGUGAGAGGGAGUGCAGGGCGCGGCUCCAUAACCAGAAGCUGCUGCAGGACUUCCAGAGAGCGCAGGACACCCUCACUGACCUGGUGGCUCGAACUGAAGCCAUGAACACCAUACGGGUGGAGUAUGAGCGGUACCUGGAGCAGAACUUCCCUCGAUGGCAGCAGAAGCUGAAAGAUAAGAGGCUGUUAGAACAGCGUAAGGUACUGUCGGUUUAGUGUGUGAUCGACUCCAGAUGUUCACGUUGUCCACAGAAAGAACUUUUAGGGGCACUGUUCAAAAAUAAUUGCAUUUAUUUUAUUAUUUUAUUGUUUUGGGAAGAUCUGUGGUUAAGACCUGAAAGAAAUGAUACACACUGGAUAUGUAAAACUAUUUAUUUUAAUCAAAAUGAGUAAAAAAAAAAAUAUAUAUANUUUAUAGAAUAAAACAACAAUGUUCAUUUUACUCAAACAUAAACCUAUAAAUAGCAAAAUCAGAGAAACUGAAUCAGAAACUGAAGUGGUCUCUUAAUUUUGCUGCAUAGCCAUCAGCAGCCAGAGUCAGAGAGAGAGAACAACUGGCCAUGCUCUUUCUGGGAGGGGGAUACUAUCUAGUGAUGCUGUAUUGGUGGCAGCUAGAAAAGGGGCGGAGCCUGACUUCAUAUGUAUCGGAGGAGGCAUGCGCUUUUCCUGACCUUUAUCCUAUUGUUGAGAGCAUUGUUAGUUAGUUAAGCUAAAUUGGGGAGAAAAUAAAGUUUUAAAUAUGUAGAAUAGAUAAAUAAAUUUAAAUUAUCUUUUUGUAUGGUUUCAGUUCAUGCCCGGAAGCCUAGGAGCACAAUGUCCAAACAAGAUAACAAGCAGAACCUUCAAGGGAUCGUCCCAAACGACUCCCAGCCUCUCUACGCACCCUUCACAUGGCCUUCAGAGGCCGAACCCCAGCAGAGCAACAUCUCAAAGCAGAGCAAAACCUUCCAGAGUAUUCACCAAGCUUUAAAUUCACCUGUACCUUUACCUGCUGACCCACGGUAUGAUCCAUACCCUGUAGUCCAGCAGGAACAGCCUUCCAGUGGCCAUUUCCCACAGUAUCUAAAACCCUGGGCAGGAGGGGUUCAGUCUGCCCCUGCUGGAGCUCCAUGGAUGGGUGUUCCUGUAAACCCGCUGGUGUGGAAGAUACUGAGGAUGUCUGAAGCUGGUGCUGAGGAGCUGAUGUAUGGUGAGCAGUCAGACAGAGAAAAAUGGAGAAAAGACUCAAACUCUGAGCUUCAGAAACAUCAGGACCAGAGGAGAAGGAGGAAGGAGAAAGGCAGCGACCGCUCCUCUGAACUCGACACAAAAUCAGCUUGUCUUUCAGAUGGCCAUGGAGACAGCAUUGAAAGUAGUGCACUGUCCACUGUGAGAAAUCAAAGGAGAAGAGAAAGACAGACACACCGUUUAUCAUCAGAAGAGAAAGGUGGUGUCUCUAUGGGGUCCUCGUCCAGGUCAGACCACCACCCUGAUACCAGCAAUGAGAAAAACGAGAUCAGUAAGAGCUCAACUGUGACGACAUCCAGAGCAUCCAAUACUCAGGUGAAGAGCACAGCUGGAAUAGGGUCCAGCAGUGAAUGUGUUAAUCAGUCCUCAGAAGAUGCAAAAGUCGUACGUUCUUCUGUAAUGGAGAAAAUGACUAAGCAAAGAAGACGAGAAACAGAGAUAGACCGAUCAUCUUCAGAAGAGAAAGGUGGUGUCUCAGGGAGGUCCUCAUCCAGGUCAAAUCACCACUGUAACACCAGCAAUGACAAAAACAAGAUCAGUCAGAGCUCAACUGUAACGACAUCCAGAGCAUCCAAUACUCAGGUGAAGAGCACAGCUGGAGUAGGGUCCACUAAACAUCUGGAUAAAGAGAGGGAACAGGAGGAUAACUGUAAGGAGGACAGGAUUACAGACAGUCCCACUGCAGUGGAGAAGAAGAACAAGAAGAAGCAGAAGACAAAGAAGAGAAUAAAGAAGAAUGAAGAUGAUUUAGAGGAGGAGAAGCAUCUCACAGAUCAGGAAGAACGAGUGAGUGAAGAUGGGGAGCAGAGAAGAGAAGAAAAGAAAGAGGAGGAGGAUGAUGUGGGUGAUGAAGAACAGAAUGAAGAGGUAAAGAGUGAGAGAUUAUGUAAUAAGAGGAGAAAAGGUGGAGAAAAAUCUGAAGGAGCAUCUCUUGUAGAGAUGGAGGUGGAGGAGGAAGAGGAUGAUGAUGAGAAGUAUAAAGGUGAAGAUGAAGAAGAUGAGAAUGGAGGAGAUAAAGAAGAGGAGGAUGAUGAUGUUGAUGAUGGAGAUGGAGAACUAAUAGAAAAAAGUGAAGGAGAGGAAGAUGAUGAUCAGGAGGAUGGAGAAGAUGAUGAUGGUGAUGAUGGAGAUGAAGAUGGACCAGAGGAGAUAAGUGUAAAGGUUAAAGCACCAAGAAGUAGACAGAUCAAAAGAGGUGAUGAGUCAGAUGAAAGAGGAAAUGACAGUGAAGAUGCUGCAUCAGAUUCAAAAGUGAACAUCAAUGACAGUCUUAAACAUUUGUAUAAAGACGAGGAGACAGAAGAUGAAGAGCUGUACGAUCAAGAGAUAGAAGAUGAUAUUGAGGAUGGUGAUGAUGAUGAUGAUGAUGAUGAUGAGGAUGAUGAUGUGGUGGUUGAGAAAGCGUACCCGUGGUCACGUGGUCCAGCCUACAAUCACACUAAAUAUCAGGACGAUGAGGAUGAAGAUGAUGUUGAAGGUCUUCUCGCUCCACAAAUCAACAUUCAGGAACAUGAUUCUGAUGAAGAAAAGGAAACACUCAAUUCAAAAGGUGAACAAAAAUGUCAAAAUAGUUCUGCUGUUUAUGACAAAUAGUGAAAUAUCAAAUGUACUGUAGAUGUGCCAGAGCAACUGGCUGUAGAAGCUUCUGACUGGGAUUCCCGGCAUCUUGUUUUUAGUCAGUUGAGUGUAAUGUCGUCAUGUGGCCACUAGAUGGUACAAGAAGUGUGUCCAUAUGAGGUUAUACUGCACUCUAAAAAACAGAGGUACAAUAUGAGUACUUUUUUUGUACUCAAAGGUACACUCUUCAUAAUUGUACCCUCAAUGGUACAAUAUUGGUCUUUUCAGGGUCAGAUUU